CUUGAACCAAAUAAAGAAACAGAAAAGUUCAACAAUCUACGUGACCCUGUUUGUGUAGACAGUAACCUUCAAUUUUGAAAUCGAGACGAUACCACCGGAGUUCGCGAGGAAGAGAAAAAAAGAGAAGUUUCUCUAUAAUUUCUAGAAUACUGCAGGUUCAUUUUUACUUUAAAUUGUUCGGAUUAUACAAAGUUCUUGAUUUCAUCGACUGAGAGAAGCUUAGAAGUAUGAAAAGACUUGUGGAGGAAUAUUAACAAUUAGGUACCAUAAACUCGGGCUGAUAAUCCGCCUCAGAUUGUUUCCACUAAUUCCGCUUCGUUUAAAUAGGCGACGGUUUCGGAUUUAUCAUGCUCCAUCUAGAAAUCAACAAUUCCAGUUAAUAAAGUUCAGAGAGGUUUGUUGAAUAUAAACGACGAGUUUAUGGUAAAAAUGAACUGCGCAAACAUAUUUGGAUGUAUAACAAUACUAAUUUUUGGCGUUGGAAGAUUGAGUCAUGAUGUUGCAGGACUUGUAUGUUCGGCGUGUGACGGCGAAAGUUCAUUUGAUUGUACAGAAAGGUGGGGUAAUCUAAAAAAUGUAACCUGCGACACUCCACCAGCAGGUAUGAGAGCAAUUUGCUAUUACAUGGAACACUUGGAUACGGUUACGAAUCGAGUGAAGGCAAUCGGUGGUUGCGAAACGCAAAGUACUGAAAAAAUUUUGGUUUUGACUCCAUUUCCUCCUUGUUGGACCAAACCACUGCGAUUCCAAGUGAAGGAUUGUAGAACAUGCGAUAAGGAUCGUUGUAAUAUACCACCAUUUUACUAAAUCUUGCCAAUGUGGCCAAUGCUAUUUUUAGUGUAAAUAUGUGUUUAAUAAAGCUAUGUCUGUGUCUUGUAAU